ACGACCUUACUUUAACAGGAUCCGUUCUAUAGGAUCGUACCGCUGCAUCCUUGACUAAUAAGGAGGCAAGCACUUCAGCUUGGUUGAUGACACGUGACCUGUGGGCUAGAGCGUGAUUAACGGCUAGGAUUUGGAGCUCUGUUGGUCCAUCUAUGGCUGUAGAGGAUCGUUCCUCUUGUCAGGCCUGCCUGCUUUGGGGUGGCCCUUAGGUUGUCUGACAGGCU